CAUUGUCUUUCAAGAUACACUGAAAUUCUCCUGAUAAGAAAAAGUUCUGGUUAGACACUCUACAUGAUAUUUGGAUUAUUACACUGGGAACUACAAUUUUUGGAUUAUAAUUUCUGUGUGUUAGAUUUAUUGUUCAACUACCUUUAAGGUAUGAAAAACAGCAACAUUACACAAAUCGACUGCAAAAUCCAACUGGACGAGCAAUGAAGAAAUGGAUCAAAUGCAGGAAGUUGGGAACCGGAAGAAGGAUCUAUUUGGAAGGUUGUAUAUUGGUUGCAUAUUGUGUAUAAACGUAUCUCUCGAGAAGUUUUCACUCAUAGAGACGUCACCAUUACCGGCGAUGGACCGGUAAAAACUGGGCAAAUUACAAAUGGGAUUGUAUGAAAAAUAAGGUAAUGCAGCAGUUCUUGUUGUGCCAAUCAAAGUCUCAGGAGUUACUUCUCUUUCUUUCACGCUUGCGCGUUCAUUAUUAUACUUUUGAAAACUCCUAUAUUCAUUUACUUGCAUCAGCAUUAACAGAAAAAUCUUUAAUUGUUCAGAGCACUCCUACAAACAUAAGGAUGAAUGAUUCUUGGCGAUUGGUCGUAUUCCACGAACAAACACACCGACUUCAUACGCAUUAGAAUUCAAGAAGAACAUACCAUUUGUAAUUCGCCAUAGAACAGAAAACUUUGGAUUGUCUAAGUUUAUAUCAUUGAUUCAAGGUGAAUUCGAUCGAAGAGUACCACAGAGAAAAAACGAUAUAUUAAGAGUACAUGAUUGGGAUUUAAGCUGGUCUCUCUUACUCCCACUACUGUCGAGCUGGGCGCAUCCAGAAAUGUAUGGAAGGGGGAGGGGCACACCUCAAAUACACUUCAAUCUGUCCAAACAUUCUAAGGAUCAAAAUGUCAGUACCUGCAGAUUAAAAUAAAAGUUGUAGUACGUAAAACCAACAACAGUUUUAUUGGUAGUGUUGUUUUGAAUAACUUAUUAAAUCAAAUUAAAUUUUGAAACAGACAAGUGGGAUCAAAUUAGGAGACCCAAAACAGGGGAAACCCAAAACAGGGAGACCCGUUUGUUGGACAGACACAGAAGAUUGACUAGGGAAGGCCUCGGAUAGAGGGACUUCCCCUUGGUAUUGAAUUCAGACGGCAAGUACUAGUAAUAUUUCAAAAGCAAUAACAAAUAUAUAUAUAUAUUGAAAUUAUGUUUGUUAACUUUCCUCCAGCAUUACUCGAUUGCCAAAUGCUGUUACACAUCUAAACAAUAAAACAUCAUUUACAGGGAUUUAAAAACACAGACAUAGACACCUAUUUCUGUGAAGCUUUCAUAUGUUUUAGUCGAACUCUACCGAUUUAAAUAUUUCUGUGAAGCUUUCAUAAUAUUUAGUUGAGCACUACCGGUUUAAAUAUUUCUGUAAAGCUUUCAUAUUAUUUGGACGAGCACUACCGGUUUAAAUAUUUCUGUAAAGCUAUCAUAUUAUUUAGUCGAACUCUACCGGUUUAAAUAUUUCUGUAAGUCUAAUUCAUUUCCUAAAGCAACAGAAGUCAAGAAAAACAAUGUCAAUCAAAAUAUGGUGAAAAAAUGCUGACGAACGAAUAAGCGGAGUAAUCUGAUUUAUCAAACAUUGCCAAUAAUUGUAAAGUUCAUAUCAAGGUAUUUAUCACUCAAUACACGAGGUAAUUAUACGGAACAUAAUUUAUGCAAGAUGUACUCAGUAGUACAUGCAUUUUAUGAUUAUAAUUUGUUUAUUAGCAGAUUUAGAAAGAAAAAUCUAAAACUGGACAACGUGUGGUUGAUAUGUAAAAUAGAAAAACCGAAAAUGAAAUCAUGGCCAUCCAGAAAGAAGUCUUAUUAUUAUUAUUAUCAAAAUAUCAAACUUAGAAUUUGAAAUCCAAACCAACUUUCCGUUCUUCAUGACUGUCAUGCAAAACAAUAACGAAUGUUUUUCUUCGUAGAUAUUGUCGAUGGGGAAUUCUAAAAAAAAAUUUAUAUCAGCUGUAGCGUAUUUUGGGGAAAUUCUAACAUUUUUUUAAUCAGCUGUAGAGUAUUUUUGGGGAAUUCUAACAUUUUUUUUAUAUCAGCUGUAGAGUAUUUUUUUUUAUAUCAGCUGUAGAGUAAUAUUUUUUUUAUAUAUCAGCUGUAGAGUAUUAUUUUAUAUCAGCUGUAGAGUAUUUUUGGGGAAUUCUAACUUUUUUUUUAUAUCAGCUGUAGAGUAUUUUGGGGGAAUCCUAACAUUUUUUAUAUCAGCUGUAGAGUAUUUUUUUUUUUAUAUCAGCUGUAGAGUAUUUUUUUUAUCAGCUGUAGAGUAUUUUUUUUAAUAUCAGCUGUAGAGUAUUUUAUAUAUCAGCUGUAGAGUUGUUUUUUUUAUAUCAGCUGUAGAGUAUUUUUUUAUAUCAGCUGUAGAGUAUUUUACAUAUCAAGUGUAGAGUAUUUUUUUUAUAUCAGCUGUAGAGUAUUUUUGCGUAGUAACUUAAUUUUGGGGAUGACUGAUCACAAGAUAGGAAUAUUUUCGUAUAUUGCUUAUAUUUCAUUUAUCAAUAACAGCUCAUCAAUAUUACUAAAAAUUACACUAUUUACCAACACUUUAUUUUCAUUUCAUUGCAGUGGCUAUAGGUACAUAUUUAAUUUGGAGGCCAGCUUACAAUAAAUAUAUGUUGUGUGCUAUAUAGUAUGUAUAUACAAAUGUUUCGAGGAGUACAGCUUACAAUGAAAAUAUGUGUAUGAAAAUAUAUAUAUCGGGGACGAGUCUGGCUCCCUUGGAAUUUGUAAACUCUCCCUGUGAUGUCUUUAGGCUGAAGCCGAUUGGUCAUUUUUUUUAUAUAUAGCCAUUACUAGCGCACCUUCUGGUCACCUGUAGUCCGUCUGUCUGUAAACGUUACACAUUUUCGACUUCUUCUCUAGAACCACUGGCCCAAUUUCAGCCAAACUUUGUACAGUGGGUGAAGGGGAUUCAAGUUUGUUCAAAUGAAGGGCCGUAUCCCCUUCCAAUGGGGAUAUAAUCGAGAAAAGGUCAAAAUAAGGGGGGAUCAUUUAAGAAUCUCCUCAAGAACUACUGGGCUAGAAAAAAAAGAAUCUUAUGUGAAACCUUUCUGACGUAGUGUAGACUCAAAAUUGUUCAAAUCAUGGCCCUGGGGGAUAGGAUGGAGCCACAUUAGGGGGUCAAAUCAUGGCCCUGGGGGAUAGGAUGGGGCCACAUUAGGGGGUCAAAUCAUGGCCCUGGGGGAUAGGAUGGAGCCACAUUAGGGGGUCAAAAUUUUACAGAUGAAUCUACAGGAUGUUUUUUUUUUCAAAAUCCCUCUUCUCAAGAACACCAAGGUCAUGAUUAUUCAUAAGGAAUUUGAAAGCACAAAACUUUCCCCAAAUCAACAGCCAUGUUAUAUUGUAGAUGACACAAAAUAGGCCUAUAUUAUUGAACGGAUUACGGUAAUGACAAAAACUCUGAGGACACCGUACUACAGUUUAUUUUGAAGAUCAGUAUUGUGGAUACAUAUAGUCAUUUUCACGUUCUCGUAAUGUAGAUCAUGUAGAGGGAGAUGUAGAAAAGGACAAGGCAAGGAAUACCAGACAGUAUGGAGUCUUUAGCAACCUUAAUUAAAAUCUUUUACAACCUUCUCCAGUGUAACGGGUAGAGAAUAGCUGAUCUUAAUUAGAUUUCAUUUAUAUAUAUUUAUAUACUUCCGUGUUAAAUCUAAUUUUGGAUACAAAAAAAACACCUAAAAAUAUUUUUUUAAGCGAUAUAUUAUUUCUUUGUUUAUAAAAAUAUUGAUAGAAAGUAUUGGGACUGUGUUUUUGAAAUACCGCCCUUCUAUACACCCAAUGAAUGGAGCCCUCUCCUAUUUGCAUUUAUUUAAUUAAUGCACUUCAUUUUCUGACGACAUUGUAAUUCGAAUAACUGAUCGCGAAAACCUAUGAAUAAGCGAGAUCUCGUACAUCAUCUCGUACAUCGUAUAAACACAGCCACCUGAUACCAGACACCCCUCCCUAAUGAACGAUGAGUUCAUUAUAGCCAUACAUGCAUAUCUAAAUGAUUAUUUAUGAUGCGGAGAACACAUUUCCUUUUAUUGUCUAUCUAAACGGGAGUACUGCUUUAUCUUUUAGAUUAGAUGUUGAAGGUUUCAUUUAUAAAGUUUAGAAGCAUAGUCACACCAAUCAAAUAUAUCAUGUAAAAUAUAAAACAAAAUGUACAAAGGAAUGCGGGUACGUGUUGUUAGAAAUGUUUUUUUCAUCUAAAAACUAAUUUCAUUAUUUUAAAAAUGAACAAAAUUUGCUAUGGUGUUUUUUUAAAGUCAGGAACAGGGAUAUCCAUAGACUUGAUGAACAGAUAACACCCCUCAACACCCCCCCCCCCCCGUCUUAAUUUCAAUCGUAUUUUGAGGUUAACGAGCUUCAGUUGCAUAUUUAUUUAUCAUACAAAUACGUCAUAGGGGUAGGAACCGGGGAGGGGGCUAGCUAGGGGGGUCCCCCUCAUUUUUUGGUAAAAGGGAAUGAGUGACGAGGAGCUCGUCAUAUUCCAAGCGGUAAUUUUAAAUGAUCAGCCAUUGUUCAUUGAAGUUUAAAUGAUCAGCCAUUGUUCAUUGUUUUUAAAUGAUCAGUCAUUGUUCAUUGAAGUUUGAAAUGUAAAAGAAUGAUUGUGAAUAUAGUUUGUCUAAUAAAUAACAAUAUUUUAUCAAUAAUUUCGAAAAAUUAAAGAGGACAUUUUCCCCCUUUAUUUAGAAGUUUGUUUUGAACUGUUUUGAAAAAAAAUUGAUUCUGAUAAUUGCUUACUGGGUAUAUAAGUUUAGGCGAUACAGAUAUCGCAUCUUCGCUAGCCACAAUCACUUGCAAUAUUUCACACAUUGACUCCAAACAUUAAGGUGCUGGCUGUCUUUUAGCAUUUCUUUCUUGUUAUUGAUUUUGUAAUUUAGUGAGAUUGUGAUCAAGAUAUUUCAUAUGUACAUGUAGUACAAAUAUACAUGGUUAAAAUAUAUUACAAGUAUGGAUAUUUUAUAAAAGAUAACAAACUUUUCUGGGGAAAAUAAUAGAUUGAUGUUGGAUUUGAAUAACUCGUAUAGAAUUCAAAUACACGUAAUAUAUCUAAAGUGUAUGUAUAGCUUGAAGCCUUUCAUUUAUGAACACAGAAUUAUUUCGUUACAUGGUACAAUAACUGACAACCCAACUAAAGGUAAAAAGAUGUCAUGUGAAGCAAUGCGUACUUUUUGAGUUUUGUUAUUUAUGUACUCAUUUCACUAGCGUACCGCAUCAAGGGCUUCAUCACGUUCUAUAGUAGGCCAAUAACAUGCUGGGAACCGGAAGCUACAGCAGUAUCUAUGGUUGUGUUGUUGGCCACCAUUUGACAUUCUCUGAUGAAAUAAAGAUUUACAGUAUCCAUGAAGAUGGUGGGUGUGUAUGGACCAGUCCGAGCUCGAGUCGGUUUAACUGUGCUGGAGUGUCGCAGAUAAUGAUUUUCUGCUCUUCCUGGGUACUAGGGAGUGAAUUAUAAUUCUCUUCUUACCGGUCGGAGUUUUUAGUAAUCCGUUUGUGUUUUCCUUGCAAAACCCUCACGAUCUCUGUCUUUUCAUUUCUCAAACAGUCCACUUUUUUUUACCAAAUCGAUAUUGAUUUUAUGGAGCUUGUUCAUUUGUGUGAUACAAAAAUGGCACAUAUACUAGCAUGAUCUAUGAAAAAUGUGUCGCCAAAUGUAACACGUCUGUGUGUUUGUGUGGGUAUGUGGUGUGUUGUAGUUGACUACCACAAUGCGACAAAUCUUCUCUGGAUAUCGGCGCAGCCAUUUUUAAUUACUACAAUUUGUAACAAACGUUAUGAUUGGUUGCAGCUACGCGUGAAUGACCAUUCACAAAACAGAGCGUACAUGUAUCACUGUGUGUUCACUAUGAGAGUUCUCGAGAGGGGGGGGGGUGUCACUAAUUUUUAAAUUGCAUAGUGUUCACGUCUUCCGCUACGUCAUCUUCUUUAGUGUUUCACAUUUUCAAUAUACUUUUUGUGUUUAUAACAUUGAUAGAAUUUCAUUUAUAUCUGUUAGAUUAUAUUGUGUUUAUUGAUCAAAAUGCAAGUGACAAUUCACGAUGACUGACAACUUCAGAGUACAUUUUUCAAAAAAAUACAUAGUGAAAUUGUUACUACGGUGUAUUAGUAUAUACAGUGUCACCUCGUUAUAUCGCCAGCAGUUGUCCCAGCCUAUUGUGGCGUUAUAUCGAGGGUGGCAUUAUAAACAGUUUGGUCAUUUUACUUCAUUGAUUUGGGGAAAAAAUGGGGUUGAUCAAUUAAUACAUUAUCGUCCUUUUAUUGCCGUCAACAUAUGACACGAUAUGUAAAUGCAUGGAAUUGUUUUGCUUUACCUCCUAAAACUUUGCUAUAAAAUGCAUAUUCUGCGAUUGUGCAUUUGCAAAACACGUAAGUAUAUCUACCAUAGUUUCAUUUGUGGCAUGGUAGGUUCUACGAUGACUGAAUGAGUUUAGUGGUUGACAAACACACGUGUAAUGGCUGCAACUUUUUUCUGGAACACAGAAAUAUGACGCCACACACAUAAAUACACACAAAAGUCACAUGAUACACAAACUUUACAGCAGUUCAAAGCAAGUCUCAUCGAAUAGAGAUUUGGAUAGUGUGCAAACGAACAUUGGCAGAAGUGGCUUCAUUUCUCAGUUGUUCAUGCGUAGGCGAUACUACUGGACAAUUUCAGAGACAAUUUUUAAUUGAGCAUGUUCAAGUUAUUAUCGCAAUUACCUAUGCUUACCUGUUUUCACGACACGUACUAAAUUUAGUUUCGCUCUGAUUCACCGGAGCAGAACAAUUAUGCAUCGCUGGGUCGCUGGCAUUGUUAUCGGGGGGAUUUAGAAAGGCAAUUUGACCUUCUGUGCCUGGUGGGGGAUGGCGAUAGGCGAGGUUGGCAUUAUAUCGGGUUUUUUAGCGUGUAUGGAAAUCCGAUCUACACAUUUCGACGGUGGUAUGCGGGGGUGGCGAUAUACCGAGGUAACACUGUAUGAAUGGUGGGAGGCACUGACAUGUAUAGUCAUGGUGAAGUAUUAGAUGUAUGUUAGCCAAGAAAAGCUGAAUAUAUCGAACAGUGAUCAGUUUAUAACUCCUAUAAGAAAUACAAAAUAGAGAGUUAGGCAAACACGGACGCCUGGAUAUAUCAGAGGUGAGAUCAGGUGCCUAGGCGGAGUAAACAUUUGACCGGCUACACCCGCCGUGAGCCCUAUCUCUUGAUCAGAUAAACUGAGUAAUACGUAGUCAAAAUCAGUGUGUAAAGAACGGCCUAACAAUCGGCAUGAAACACGUCAGGCAGCAUCUGAUCUAAUGAAAAUGGCAAAAUCCAAGACCCAAAUCUUUAUGGGAUUCUGAAUGAAAGCAAUAAAUUCAUGACCUUGUAUCCUUCUGACGCUCCUCAAGGUCAAACCCCAGUGAAAGUAUUUGGUGAUGAUAAUUGUUUUACCUCUCAAUUCGGGUUAGAACUUUAUUCGAAGUGGUGAAUACGGUUAAAUGGUUUAUAUGAAUGUCGGAAAGUGUAUUCUUCGUGCCAUUUGUUCUAGACUAUGUAGUUUGUAACUGAGUGGAUGGUAUUGAAAAUCUUAAUUAAAACUUCUAAUGUACAAACUAAUCAAAAAGACAUACAAUAAUGUGAUAUUGUUCUCAGUUUAGUCUGGGUUAUUUUCUGAUGUUUUUGUAAAAUAAGCGACCUGGAUACGGCGAAUGUAGAGAACAUUAUUAAAGUAUGAGGAAGUAAGUAGGGUAUAAUUAAUGUGAAAUUUUAAUUGACAGGUCCGAAAUAUUCCACACUAGUUUGAAUUUCGCUGCUGUCACAGGCGAGAAACGACUCCGUGACCUGGACCGGUAAAUGUCCUAGUGAAAAUACACAGAUGGAAAGAACUCAACACAGGUGUGAAUAUAAAGGAUGCGACAAAUUUUACCAUCCAUUAAAAAGGGAAACUGACUUUGCAUAUGAAAAUUCAACAUAGCUUUAGUGACAUCGGUCACUUACUUGUUUUGCUUUUGUUGUUUUUGUUUGGUAUUUAACAUUAAAGAGAGAUUACUUGA